rnacentral:rRNA from 1 species
UACGUAGGGUGCGAGCGUUGUCCGGAAUUAUUGGGCGUAAAGAGCUCGUAGGCGGUGUGUCGCGUCGGUCGUGAAAACUUGGGGCUUAACCCUGAGCUUGCGGUCGAUACGGGCAUCACUGGAGUUCGGCAGGGGAGACUGGAAUUCCUGGUGUAGCGGUGAAAUGCGCAGAUAUCAGGAAGAACACCCGUGGCGAAGGCGGCUCUCUGGGACGGUACUGACGCUGAGACGCGAAAGCGUGGGGAGCAAACAGG